AACUCUUAGCGGUGGAUCACUCGGCUCGUGCGUCGAAGAACGCAGCUAGCUGCGAGAACUAAUGUGAAUUGCAGGACACAUUGAUCAUUGACACUUCCAACGCACCUUGCAGCCCCGGGUUCCUCCCGGGGCUACGCCUGUCUGGGAGUCG
rnacentral:rRNA from 1 species